GACGUAGGGCGCGAGCGUUGUCCGGAUUUAUUGGGCGUAAAGAGCUCGUAGGCGGCUUGUUGCGUCGACCGUGAAAACCCGGGGCUCAACUUCGGGCUUGCGGUCGAUACGGGCAUGACUGGAGUUCGGUAGGGGAGACUGGAAUUCCUGGUGUAGCGGUGAAAUGCGCAGAUAUCAGGAGGAACACCGGUGGCGAAGGCGGGUCUCUGGGCCGAUACUGACGCUGAGGAGCGAAAGCGUGGGGAGCGAACAGG
rnacentral:rRNA from 1 species